UUAAGAGAAACAAUGAUUGCUUAAUAUACUUAAGUCCAUCCCGAAAGUGAAAUACAUUGGGAAAGAAAACGCCCUGUUUCACCAGCCAAAGAGUCAGACAGAUAAUUGAGUACAGAAGGCUGCAAAGAGGAGUCUAGACAAUUAAGAUGGAAUGCCUGAAUCUUGCUCCAGCUGUACUGCUUCAGCACACUGAAGAGUCUCACAGGAACUGCAACCUUAAAUUCACACCUGAUGGCAAAUUAGAGGAAAUCUCUCCCACAUUCUUUCCUUCAUCUAUCAUUCUGUGAGGAAGGACAGCACAUCCAGGAUGGAGGACAAACAUGGCUGCCAAAGACCUCCUGGACCAAUGAAUGAAUGAGGUGGGCCCGGCAUAUCAGUUUAGUUCCUGCCUGUCUGGGAAGGAGAUGAGUGCCAUGUGCGGGCUGCUGUCCUCACCAAGGCUGCCUCAUUCACCAGAAUGGCUGCCAGGCACUUGGGAGGUUUGUUCAAUGGACGUCUGUGCAAGAGAGAAGUUUGAGGGCUUUACAAGAGAUAUGCAACUACGCUGCUGCAGAAGCGGUGUUGUAGCCCAGUGGGACUCUACAAAAGGUUUAAGAUUAACUGAUGUUCCUCCCUGGAGGGUGGAAAACAGCGAUAAUGAUCUAAGGAUGAAAAACCAAACAAAGCACCCAUCUUGUGACAAGAAAAGAGAAGAAGCAGGAUGUCCCCGGAUAACCUCUAACAAUACCAGUAGAAGAUUAACUCAUCUAAGACAUCACCACCUCAAGGGGAAACUAACACAAACUUCUAAGAUCCAUAAUCCUGUCCC